rnacentral:rRNA from 1 species
AGGGCACCACCAGGAGUGGAGCCUGCGGCUUAAUUUGACUCAACACGGGAAAACUUACCUGGUCAGGACACUGGAAGGAUUGACAGAUUGAGAGCUCUUUCUUGAUUCAGUGGGUGGUGGUGCAUGGCCGUUCUUAGUUGGUGGAGCGAUUUGUCUGGUUAAUUCCGAUAACGAACGAGACUCUAGCCUACUAAAUAGACUGCUCAACUUUAUAGCUGCAUCACCUUGCAGUUGCUUCGGUGGCUGUAAGGCUGUGGUGACGUUGGCAGUGCUUCUUAGAGGGACAGGCGGCGGUUCAGCCGCACGAAACAGAGCAAUAACAGGUCUGUGAUGCCCUUAGAUGUCCAGGGCCGCACGCGCGCUACACUGAAGUGAUCAGCGUGCAAUUAACGUUUCCUACUCCGUCAGGAGUGGGUAACCCGUUGAACCUUCUUCGUGAUUGGGAUAGGGGAUUGUAAUUAUUCCCCUUGAACGAGGAAUUCCCAGUAAGCGCAAGUCAUAAGCUUGCGUUGAUUACGU